UCAACUAAACUUUGUUCACAUCUUAAACUGGGAGAUUAUCCAAUGUGUAUCCAUCGAAGCCAAAUUCAGUUUCAACUGGUCCAACACUUCCUUGCUGCUUUAAGAAGGCACUCAUGAGGUCAUCCUGUCCAAAUUGCUCUGGGAAAUUGGUACUCUGAUAGUCUGCAUCGAGAAAUCUUUCAGCUUUAACAGCAAGGGUAUUCCUACUGACAGAGUUAAGUUGUGGUCCACCCAUAAGAUUAGUAUGUCCACUUUCUUCACCAUUG
rnacentral:misc_RNA from 1 species